GGUAGCUUAACCUUCGGGAGGGCGCUUACCACUUUGUGAUUCAUGACUGGGGUGAAGUCGUAACAAGGUAACCGUAGGGGAACCUGCGGUUGGAUCACCUCCUUACCUUAAAGAAGC
rnacentral:rRNA from 7 species